rnacentral:rRNA from 1 species
UGGGGAAUAUUGGACAAUGGGCGAAAGCCUGAUCCAGCCAUGCCGCGUGUGUGAAGAAGGUCUUCGGAUUGUAAAGCACUUUAAGUUGGGAGGAAGGGCAUUAACCUAAUACGUUAGUGUUUUGACGUUACCGACAGAAUAAGCACCGGCUAACUCUGUGCCAGCAGCCGAGGUAAUACAGAGGGUGCAAGCGUUAAUCGGAAUUACUGGGCGUAAAGCGCGCGUAGGUGGUUUGUUAAGUUGGAUGUGAAAGCCCCGGGCUCAACCUGGGAACUGCAUCCAAAACUGGCAAGCUAGAGUACGGUAGAGGGUGGUGGAAUUUCCUGUGUAGCGGUGAAAUGCGUAGAUAUAGGAAGGAACACCAGUGGCGAAGGCGACCACCUGGACUGAUACUGACACUGAGGUGCGAAAGCGUGGGGAGCAAACA